rnacentral:rRNA from 1 species
GCUUUACAAUGCCAAGUCGAGCGGUAAGGCCCUUUCGGGGGUACACGAGCGGCGAACGGGUGAGUAACACGUGGGUGACCUGCCCUCCACUCUGGGAUAAGCCCGGGAAACUGGGUCUAAUACCGGAUAGGACCACUGAUCGCAUGGUUGGUGGUGGAAAGUUUUUUCGGUGGGGGAUGGGCCCGCGGCCUAUCAGCUUGUUGGUGGGGUGAUGGCCUACCAAGGCGGUGACGGGUAGCCGGCCUGAGAGGGCGACCGGCCACACUGGGACUGAGACACGGCCCAGACUCCUACGGGAGGCAGCAGUGGGGAAUAUUGCGCAAUGGGCGGAAGCCUGACGCAGCGACGCCGCGUGGGGGAUGACGGCCUUCGGGUUGUAAACCUCUUUCGCCAGGGACGAAGAGCAAUUGACGGUACCUGGAGAAGAAGCACCGGCCAACUACGUGCCAGCAGCCGCGGUAACACGUAGGGUGCGAGCGUUGUCCGGAAUUAUUGGGCGUAAAGAGCUCGUAGGCGGUGUGUCGCGUCGGCCGUGAAAACUUGGGGCUUAACUCUGAGCGUGCGGUCGAUACGGGCAUCACUUGAGUUCGGCAGGGGAGACUGGAAUUCCUGGUGUAGCGGUGAAAUGCGCAGAUAUCAGGAGGAACACCGGUGGCGAAGGCGGGUCUCUGGGCCGAUACUGACGCUGAGGAGCGAAAGCGUGGGGAGCGAACAGGAUUAGAU